rnacentral:rRNA from 1 species
CGGUGAAAUUGCGUAGAGAUCUGGAGGAAUACCGGUGGCGAAGGCGGCCCCCUGGACAAAGACUGACGCUCAGGUGCGAAAGCGUGGGGAGCAAACAGGAUUAGAUACCCUGGUAGUCCACGCCGUAAACGAUGUCUACUUGGAGGUUGUGCCCUUGAGGCGUGGCUUCCGGAGCUAACGCGUUAAGUCGACCGCCUGGGGAGUACGGCCGCAAGGUUAAAACUCAAAUGAAUUGACGGGGGCCCGCACAAGCGGUGGAGCAUGUGGUUUAAUUCGAUGCAACGCGAAGAACCUUACCUACUCUUGACAUCCAGAGAACUUACCAGAGAUGCUUUGGUGCCUUCGGGAACUCUGAUACAGGUGCUGCAUGGCUGUCGUCAGCUCGUGUUGUGAAAUGUUGGGUUAAGUCCCGCAACGAGCGCAACCCUUAUCCUUUGUUGCCAGCGAUUCGGUCGGGAACUCAAAGGAGACUGCCAGUGAUAAACUGGAGGAAGGUGGGGGAUGACGUCAAGUCAUCAUGGCCCUUACGAGUAGGGCUACACACGUGCUACCAUGGCGCAUACAAAGAGAAGCGACCUCGCGAGAGCAAGCGGACCUCAUAA